GACGAACCGUGCGAACGUUGUUCGGAAUCACUGGGCUUAAAGGGCGCGUAGGCGGGCAGUCAAGUCAGGGGUGAAAUCCCACGGCUCAACCGUGGAAGUGCCUUUGAUACUGGCUGUCUGGAGGGAGGUAGGGGCGUGCGGAACUUCCGGUGGAGCGGUGAAAUGCGUAGAUAUCGGAAGGAACGCCGGUGGCGAAAGCGGCGCGCUGGACCUCUUCUGACGCUGAGGCGCGAAAGCCAGGGGAGCAAACGGG
rnacentral:rRNA from 1 species